rnacentral:rRNA from 1 species
UACGAAGGGGGCUAGCGUUGUUCGGAAUUACUGGGCGUAAAGCGCGCGCAGGCGGUCCUUCAAGUCAGAGGUGAAAGCCCAGGGCUCAACCCUGGAACGGCCUUUGAAACUAGAGGACUUGGGUACGGGAGAGGUGAGUGGAAUUCCGAGUGUAGAGGUGAAAUUCGUAGAUAUUCGGAAGAACACCAGUGGCGAAGGCGGCUCACUGGCCCGUUACCGACGCUCAGGCGCGACAGCGUGGGGAGCAAACAGG